rnacentral:rRNA from 1 species
UACGUAGGGUGCGAGCGUUAAUCGGAAUUACUGGGCGUAAAGCGUGCGCAGGCGGUUCGUUGUGUCCGUCGUGAAAGCCCCGGGCUUAACCUGGGAACUGCGAUGGAAACUAGCGAGCUGGAGUGUGGCAGAGGGGGGUGGAAUUCCGCGUGUAGCAGUGAAAUGCGUAGAUAUCGGAAGGAACAUCAGUGGCGAAAGCGGCUUCCUGGACCAGCACCGACGUUCAGGCACGAAAGCGUGGGGAGCAAACAGG